rnacentral:tRNA from 3 species
GCCGGGAUGGCGGAACUGGUAGACGCACUGGACUCAAAAUCCAGCGGUGGCAACAUCGUGCCGGUUCGAUUCCGGCUCCCGGCACCA